rnacentral:sRNA from 1 species
UCCAUUGUAAUAAUAAGGUUUGUAAGUC